GAUUAACGCUGGCGGCGUGCAUAACACAUGCAAGUCGAACGAUGAAACUUAGUAGACUUCUUCGGAAAGACACUAAGCGGAUUAGUGGCGAACGGGUGAGUAACGCGUGAGUAACCUGCCUUGCACAAGGGGAUAGCCUUUGGAAACGAAGAAUAAUACCCUAUAAAACCAUAAAAGCACAUGCUAGAAUGGUCAAAGUGAUAGCGGUGUAAGAUGGACUUGCGUCUGAUUAGCUAGUUGGUGAGAUAAAAGCUCACCAAGGCAACGAUCAGUAGCCGGCUUGAGAGAGUGUACGGCCACAUUGGGACUGAGACACGGCCCAGACUCCUACGGGAGGCAGCAGCGGGGAAUUUUGCACAAUGGGGGAAACCCUGAUGCAGCGACGCCGCGUGAUUUAGAAGGCCUUCGGGUUGUAAAAAUCUUUUGUAUAGGAAGAAAAUGACAGUACUAUACGAAUAAGGUCCGGCUAAUUACGUG
rnacentral:rRNA from 1 species